CGGGGAUAUGCAGACUCCCCAUCAGACGGCUUCCGUCCAAGCUCUGC
rnacentral:ncRNA from 1 species